rnacentral:rRNA from 1 species
GACGAACGCUGGCGGCGCGCCUAACACAUGCAAGUCGAACGAGAGAGAGGGAGCUUGCUUCCUCGAUCGAGUGGCGAACGGGUGAGUAACGCGUGAGGAACCUGCCUCAAAGAGGGGGACAACAGUUGGAAACGACUGCUAAUACCGCAUAAGCCCACGGCUCGGCAUCGAGCAGAGGGAAAAGGAGCAAUCCGCUUUGAGAUGGCCUCGCGUCCGAUUAGCUAGUUGGUGAGGUAAUGGCCCACCAAGGCGACGAUCGGUAGCCGGACUGAGAGGUUGAACGGCCACAUUGGGACUGAGAGACGGCCCAGAAUCCUACCGGAGGCAGCAGGGGGGAAUAUUGCACAAUGGGGGAAACCCUGAUGCAGCGACGCCGCGUGGAGGAAGAAGGUCUUCGGAUUGUAAACUCCUGUUGUUGAGGAAGAUAAUGACGGUACUCAACAAGGAAGUGACGGCUAACUACGUGCCAGCCGCCGCCGUAA